rnacentral:tRNA from 1 species
AUUUUUGUAGUUGAAGGACAACAGUAGCUUUUCACGCUUCAAGUUUGGGUUAGAACCCCAAUAAAAAUU